rnacentral:rRNA from 1 species
AUUCCCCUAGUAACGGCGAGUGAAGCGGGAAGAGCUCAAAUUUGAAAUCUGGCGGUCUCAGGCCGUCCGAGUUGUAAUCUAGAGAGGUGUUUUCCGUGCCGGACCGCGUAGAAGUCCCUUGGAAUAGGGCGUCAUGGAGGGUGAGAAUCCCGUUCACGACGUGGACUCCCGGUGCACUGUGAUACGCCUUCGAAGAGUCGAGUUGUUUGGGAAUGCAGCUCAAAAUGGGUGGUAAAUUCCAUCUAAAGCUAAAUACAGGCGAGAGACCGAUAGCGAACAAGUACCGUGAGGGAAAGAUGAAAAGAACUUUGGAAAGAGAGUUAAACAGUACGUGAAAUUGUUGAAAGGGAAACGCUUGAAGUCAGUCGCGUCCAUUGGGACUCAGCCUAGCUUUUGCUUGGUGCACUUCUCGGUGGAUGGGCCAACAUCAAUUUCGGGUGGCGAAANAGGGCGGUCNAAAUGUGGCACCCUCNGNUGUGUUAUANGCUUCCGUCGUACGCGUCGCCUGGGAUUGAGGACCGCAUGGGGACU